GAUGAACGCUAGCUGCAGGCUUAACACAUGCAAGUCGAGGGGAAACGGCAUUAAGUGCUUGCACUUUUUGGACGUCGACCGGCGCACGGGUGAGUAACGCGUAUCCAACCUUCCUAUGACUAAGGGAUAACCUGCCGAAAGGCAGACUAAUACCUUAUGGUCUUCACUGACGGCAUCAGAUGUGAAGUAAAGAUUUAUCGGUUAUGGAUGGGGAUGCGUCUGAUUAGCUUGUUGGCGGGGUAACGGCCCACCAAGGCAACGAUCAGUAGGGGUUCUGAGAGGAAGGUCCCCCACAUUGGAACUGAGACACGGUCCAAACUCCUACGGGAGGCAGCAGUGAGGAAUAUUGGUCAAUGGGCGAGAGCCUGAACCAGCCAAGUAGCGUGCAGGAUGACGGCCCUAUGGGUUGUAAACUGCUUUUGUAUGGGGAUAAAGUCAAUCACGUGUGAUUGUUUGCAGGUACCAUACGAAUAAGGACCGGCUAAUUCCGUGCCAGCAGCCGCGGUAAUACGGAAGGUCCGGGCGUUAUCCGGAUUUAUUGGGUUUAAAGGGAGCGUAGGCUGGAGAUUAAGUGUGUUGUGAAAUGUAGACGCUCAACGUCUGACUUGCAGCGCAUACUGGUUUCCUUGAGUACGCACAACGUUGGCGGAAUUCGUCGUGUAGCGGUGAAAUGCUUAGAUAUGACGAAGAACUCCGAUUGCGAAGGCAGCUGACGGGAGCGCAACUGACGCUGAAGCUCGAAGGUGCGGGUAUCGAACAGG
rnacentral:rRNA from 1 species